AUGCAUCUGCCAAAUUGAUAGUGUAUACGACGUGGAGUACAGCAAGAGAAGCGGCCGGGGUCGUAUAGCUAGCUAGCUUAGCGACCCCUGCCACACAGGUAGAUCACCUUGCAGUCCCUGGUGUACGGCAGGCCUGACUUCGCGGGGCAGUGCGGCCUGCAGGCGCUCCCGUCAGGACGCAACGGACCAAACGGGAUCUUCCCGGCCAGCUCGCGCCGCCGGUGAUGAAGCUCCACUCCUCCUCCGCCCAGCUGCAGCUGACGUGCCGCCGCCGACCCGAGCUCGACCACCACCACUAACCUUUCUUCUGUCGCCCACGGCGCCGUCGCGUUGUUCUCGGCCUCCUCCGCCACGCUGAUGACGACGCUGGCUGAUGCUACGGCGACGAGACGAAGGGCGAGAGCAGCAAGCAGCAGGUGGAGGAGGAAGAGAGACAGCGGCGUCGCCAGCGCCUGCUUGCUUCUGCUCACCAUGGUGGUGUUCUCUCUUCUCCUGCAAUGAACUGAUUUUGCAGUGAUACUCGCGAACGUGCUCAGUUCAUAUAUACUUGUAUAUAAGGAGAGUAGCUCACUGUACGUUUCUCGAUCGGUACGUGGUGGAACUGCGCGAUCGAUCGAGCACCGACGGUUUUGUUACCGCGUAAUAUUGUUUGCAAAUACCGCCCU
rnacentral:sRNA from 1 species